GCGGCGCGCUUAACGCAUGCAAGUCGAGCGAUGAGGCUCCCUUCGGGGAGUCAUCAGCGGCAGACGGGUGAGUAACACGUAGAUAACCUGCCCUCAAGACGGGGACAAGCGGUGGAAACAGCGGCUAAUACCCGAUAUGCUCACAGGAUCGGGAGAUCGAGUGAGGAAAGCGCCCCUUCGGGGGAGAGUGUUUGAGGAGGGAUCUGCGGCCCAUCAGCUAGUUGGUGAGGUAACGGCUCACCAAGGCGAAGACGGGUAGGGGGUGUGAGAGCAUGGCCCCCCACAAUGGGACUGAGACACGGCCCAUACUCCUACGGGAGGCAGCAGCGGGGAAUAUUGCGCAAUGGACGGAAGUCAGACGCAGCGACGCCGCGUGGGUGAGGAAGGCCUUCGGGUUGUAAAGCUCUUUUCAGGGGAGCGAGAAAGGACGGUACCCUUGGAAUAAGCGUCGGCUAACUACGUGCCAGCAGCCGCGGUAAGACGUAGGACGCAAGCGUUAUCCGGAUUUACUGGGCGUAAAGCGCCUGUAGGCGGUCAAGUAAGUCGGAUGUGAAAGCCCCGUGCUCAACGCGGGGAAGCCAUUCGAUACUGCGUGACUAGAGAACGGCAGAGGGAAACGGAAUUUCUGGUGUAGCGGUAAAAUGCGCAGAGAUCAGAAAGAACACCGAUGGCGAAGGCAGUUUCCUAGGCCGCAUCUGACGCUGAGAGGCGAAAGCUAGGGGAGCAAACAGGAUUAGAGACCCUGGUAGUCCUAGCUGUUAACGAUGGAUGCUAGGUGUGGGCCGGAAAGGUCCGUGCCGUAGUUUACGCGAUAAGCAUCCCGCCUGGGGAGUACGGCCGCAAGGCUUAAACUCCAACGAAUUGACGGGGACCCGCACAAGCAACGGAGCGUGUGGUUUAAUUCGAUGCUACACGCAGAACCUUACCUGGGCUUGACAUG
rnacentral:rRNA from 1 species